rnacentral:rRNA from 1 species
AAUCAACGCUGGCGGCGUGCCUCAGACAUGCAAGUCGAACGAUUAAAGCUCUCUUCGGAGAGUGCAUAGAGUGGCGCACGGGUGAGUAACACGUAAGUAAUCUACCUUCGAGCGGGGAAUAACGUCCGGAAACGGACGCUAAUACCGCAUAAUGCAGCGGCAUCGCAAGAUGACAGUCGUUAAAGAUUUAUCGCUUGAAGAGGAGCUUGCGGCAGAUUAGCUAGUUGGUAAGGUAAUGGCUUACCAAGGCUACGAUCUGUAACCGGUCUUAGAGGACGGUCGGUCACACUGACACUGAAUAACGGGUCAGACUCCUACGGGAGGCAGCAGUCGGGAAUUUUGGGCAAUGGGCGAAAGCCUGACCCAGCAACGCCGCGUGAAGGAUGAAGUAUUUCGGUAUGUAAACUUCGAAAGAAUGGGAAGAAUAAAUGACGGUACCAUUUAUAAGGUCCGGCUAACUACGUGCCAGCCGCCGCGGUAAUAC